rnacentral:rRNA from 1 species
UACGUAGGGGGCGAGCGUUGUCCGGAUUUAUUGGGCGUAAAGAGCGUGUAGGCGCCAGACAGGUCCGUUGUGAAAACUAGAGGCUUAACCUCUAGACGUCGAUGGAAACCGUCUGGCUAGAGUCCGGAAGAGGAGAAUGGGAAUUCCUGGUGUAGCGGUGAAAUGCGUAGAGAUCCGGAGGAAUACCAGUGGCGCAAGCGGCGCUCUGGGUCGGGCCUGACACUGAGACGCGAAGGCAUGGGGAGCGAACGGG